rnacentral:rRNA from 1 species
CUGGGCGUAAGGAUGCGUAGGCGGAUGUUUAAGUGAGAUGUGAAAUACCCGGGCUUAACUUGGGUGCUGCAUUUCAAACUGGAUAUCUAGAGUGUGGGAGAGGAGAAUGGAAUUCCUAGUGUAGCGGUGAAAUGCGUAGAGAUUAGGAAGAACACCAGUGGCGAAGGCGAUUCUCUGGACCAUAACUGACGCUGAGGCAUGAAAGCGUGGGUAGCAAACAGGAUUAGAUACCCUGGUAGUCCACGCCGUAAACGAUGAGUACUAGGUGUAGGAGGGUCCAACCUUCUGUGCCGCAGUUAACACAAUAAGUACUCCGCCUGGGAAGUACGAUCGCAAGAUUAAAACUCAAAGGAAUUGACGGGGGCCCGCACAAGCAGCGGAGCAUGUGGUUUAAUUCGAAGCAACGCGAAGAACCUUACCUGGACUUGACAUCCCCUGAAUUACUCGUAAUGGAGGAAGCCCUUCGGGGCAGGGAGACAGGUGGUGCAUGGUUGUCGUCAGCUCGUGUCGUGAGAUGUUAGGUUAAGUCCUGCAACGAGCGCAACCCUUAUCAUUAGUUGCUACCAUUAAGUUGAGCACUCUAGUGAGACUGCCCGGGUUAACCGGGAGGAAGGUGGGGAUGACGUCAA